UUUUCUUCAUAAUCUAGUGUUUCUACACACUUUCAUGUUAGUUUCAUCUCAUUUACACACAUUAUUAUGUGUCAAAAAUCAUAGGAUAAUACCAUCUUCAAAGAGUUCUUCAACCACCUUCAAGUGUUCUAGGCUUGAAGAUCUUCACAAUCAUAUCUUUAUUCAAUCACAAACACACUCAAGGUACAGUUAGAACGGCAGGUCUGGGGUGACAAAUGUCUAACAUUCCGCCGUCUGAAGAACGUUGUAACAUACCAACUAGUCGCUAGCAUGGUUAAGAUAACUCACAUGAGGAAAUCAGUGAACAAGUAACCAAAAAGGUUUUGAGGAUGGGGUGUCGCAGCGUCGCACCAUUUUUUUGUCAUAUGUAUAUGGUAUCAAGUAAACAAUGUUUUGGAUACAAUGUAAAUUUCUUAAUUAUCAAUAUGAUGGUUGUAUGGCUUUGAUCACUA